UUUGUAUGGCCAGGUUUUUGUAGAGGGGGGGCUACAGGGGUGACUUCUGUGAGAAGCUGCCAGAAGCUUCCCCCAUGUCUGGCAGAGCCAAUACCAGCUGACUCCAGGAUGGACCUGCCGCUGGCCAAGGCCAAGCAAGUCAGAAAUGAUAGUAACGCCUCCGAAAUAACAUAUUUAAGAAGGAAAAAAGGUAUUGCACAGAUGAAAUUGCAGCCAGAAAAGAGCGGAGUGAGAACAUGUGAACAACUAUGCAGAUACCAAGAACUUCCAUAAAGUAUUGAACAUGAUGAUGAAUAAAAAGUUAUUCUUAAACAAGAAGAGGGAUAGGAGAAACCUAUAAAGUCGACAGAAAAAAAAGAAGAUUGCAGCAGGUUUUACUGAAUGAAAGCAUCAACUCAGAGUGAUGUUGCUAAUGAAACAAUCUCAAAGAGAGAGAUGGUGGAGCUUAGUGCUGUGUGGGUGUGGCCAGGUUGACUUUCUGUACCACCCACAUCAUCACUGGAUAGCAUGGUUUCCAGAGGAAAAGCUGGGUGUCCCAUGGGACAUGUGCCAUUUUGCCUCCCUUUCUCCAGCAGGGGGACUGUCAAGAUCAACUCCUGCAGACUCGAUCCCCCUGUCACCACUACCAGUCCCCCUCUCAUUUUCUUGGGAAUGCAGUUACAGGACGUGGUGCUGAAAAGGAAAGGACAAAAACGCGAAUCAACUGUACUGCUAUAUCAACAGCACAGCAGAGCCAUAGAAACAGCAGUGCAGGCACCUGAGUGGAACUGAGCCAAGUGGAGCAGCGGUGUGCCCCGACUUGGAUCACUUAGGUUUUGAGGAGCUUGUAUGUCAUUGUUUUUUGUUGUUUUUUGGGAUGGGGGGUGGGAAACAUUAGCCACAGUAGCUCUCACUGCCUUCUUGCCUUUUUUCCUGACAGCCACGUGGUGCAAUGGAACAGUCACCACGUUGCCUUUCUCUGGUGAAGCCAUGUGAACGCAACUUACAGGGAGCGUCUACCAUCUUGGUUUUGUUCCCAGUGGUGUACACUUUUUUGUUGUUAAAACACCUCCUCUUUUUGUAUACUUUUGCUAUUAAUACUGCUGUUUUAGUGUGCGUGUCUUAUUUCAUUGCUUUGUGCUUUCAGUAAAUUGUUAUCUCAACCCA